GACAGAGGGUGCAAACGUUGCUCGGAAUCACUGGGCGUAAAGGGCGUGUAGGCGGGAAUGUAAGUCGGGCGUGAAAUCCCUAGGCUCAACCUAGGAACUGCACUCGAAACUGCGUUUCUUGAGUACCGGAGAGGAAAGCGGAAUACCUGGUGUAGAGGUGAAAUUCGUAGAUAUCAGGUGGAACACCAGUGGCGAAGGCGGCUUUCUGGACGGUAACUGACGCUGAGACGCGAAAGCGUGGGGAGCAAAC
rnacentral:rRNA from 1 species